rnacentral:rRNA from 1 species
GUGGGGAAUAUUGGACAAUGGGCGAAAGCCUGAUCCAGCCAUGCCGCGUGUGUGAAGAAGGUCUUCGGAUUGUAAAGCACUUUAAGUUGGGAGGAAGGGUAGUAACCUAAUACGUUGCUACUUUGACGUUACCGACAGAAUAAGCACCGGCUAACUUCGUGCCAGCAGCCGCGGUAAUACGAAGGGUGCAAGCGUUAAUCGGAAUUACUGGGCGUAAAGCGCGCGUAGGUGGUUCGUUAAGUUGGAUGUGAAAGCCCCGGGCUCAACCUGGGAACUGCAUCCAAAACUGGCGAGCUAGAGUACGGUAGAGGGUGGUGGAAUUUCCUGUGUAGCGGUGAAAUGCGUAGAUAUAGGAAGGAACACCAGUGGCGAAGGCGACCACCUGGACUGAUACUGACACUGAGGUGCGAAAGCGUGGGGAGCAAACAGGAUUAGAUACCCGAGUAGUCC